AUUGAACGCUGGCGGAAUGCUUUACACAUGCAAGUCGAACGGCAGCACGGGGGCAACCCUGGUGGCGAGUGGCGAACGGGUGAGUAAUACAUCGGAACGUGCCCGGUCGUGGGGGAUAACGUAGCGAAAGUUACGCUAAUACCGCAUACGAUCUGAGGAUGAAAGCGGGGGACCUUCGGGCCUCGCGCGAUCGGAGCGGCCGAUGUCAGAUUAGGUAGUUGGUGGGGUAAAGGCCUACCAAGCCGACGAUCUGUAGCUGGUCUGAGAGGACGACCAGCCACACUGGGACUGAGACACGGCCCAGACUCCUACGGGAGGCAGCAGUGGGGAAUUUUGGACAAUGGGCGCAAGCCUGAUCCAGCCAUGCCGCGUGCAGGACGAAGGCCUUCGGGUUGUAAACUGCUUUUGUAUGGAACGAAAAGGCUCUGGCUAAUACCUGGGGCUCAUGACGGUACCGUAAGAAUAAGCACCGGCUAACUACGUG
rnacentral:rRNA from 1 species